AAACCUUAUUUUUCUUCUAAGGAGCAAUAUGUAAGAUACAGAAUUAAAUCAUAAAAUGAGCUUACUAUAUCAUCAGACACUAAGGAAACAUUGUUGUUCUCUGACAACAAUGCAGCAGUAAGUAUGUCCGUGGUUUUAAGGCACCCUCACAUAGCCGUUUUGGGUUUGUUGUAAGUGGGACAGAUUUAGCAGAAAUGUCAUGUAAUUUAA